GUGAAAUUUAAAGGCUUGGACGGAGUUUCCUUUUUCCUUCUCUUGGAUUUGUUCUUUAUCAGAUUUAAAUCUGGACCUCUCCCUGUGCAGGACCCUCAUCACCGGGCUGUAGGCCUGAGCACUGACCCUACCGUUCUUUCCUCCGCUCCCAUUCCAGAGAGAACAUCAGGCCGUGGGCACCCACUUCUCAGUUAUCUCAUGGCUUGGGCUUGGGACAGGCCUGCAGCCCUGUGUCAUCUCUGGCUUGGGCUCUGUGCACAGGUCUGCAUCCUCGUGUCAGUGUGUCUUGAACAUGUCAUGACGCACUGGGAGAAGUCUGCCUUUCUCUUGGGUCAGAGUGGACAAGAAAACACGGGGUCUGGGCCAGUUCCCCUUCCUGGCCAUGCUCCCUGAGGGUGUGCGGGCCUGAGAGGCACGGGAAAGUCAGGACCUUCUAAAGGAAAAUGCAAGGGGCAUGAAGGCUGCUGCAGGAAGGCCGAGGCCAUCAGGCAGGGCCGCUUUAUGCCCUGGAGAGCUGGCCUGCCCCACGUUCCUCCUCCAUACUCCCCGGGCAGUGGCCGAGGCACAGGCAGCAAGGAGGGCUCCUGGCUGUGGGCGCACAUUGUUUUCUGAAACAGCAGCUCCUGAGUGCUCUGGCAGCCAUGGAGUCUCCUAUACAGUCCAAGAUGCUGCCUCCAUGGCCUCGGCUGGUCCCGGGGGUGAGGAAUGCCACAGGCUGUUACUCCAUUCCCCAAGCCUAACGUUCAGGCUCUGCAGCUGCAAGUCACUGGGGCCACUUCCCCAAAUCCCAGACACCCAGGAGUCCUAUGUGGCAGGCACUCCUUGUUUUAAAUUCUGGGAACAUCGGCUGUCGCCAUACAUUUAAUAUAGUGAUUAAAUAACAGGAGGACCUGAAGUAUCUUGGAAGGAAAACCUUCAUUGUUUGCAGGAACAGGCGAUCCUCUGAAAAUGCCUAUUCACAAAUGCACUUUAUUAAAAAACACAAACACACAUGCAGACUGAAAACGAGAGAACCACGGCCCCUGCUACAGCGAACACUGCCACGGAAUGGUGUCUGCGGAAGACCAAUAUCAUAAGGUGGAAAAAUAAAGGAAAUAAAAGAGCAAAUAAGAGGAAACGACAGCUCUCCUAAAAGCUGAUUUCAUGCCAUGUAUCUCUGGUAUAAUGGCGCGUGUUAGAGCUAAAAUUGAGGGCUUCAAAAACUGUUACCUGAGUUCUGAGUUUAAUCAUAUCGGCUUCCAUCUGGGAAUUGGAUUCAUUUAGCUCCUUGAUUUCUUCAUCUAACUGUUUGAUUUCUUCAUCAUUUUCUAUACCUGUAAUAAUGAAUAUUAGUAUGUUAAAACUGUUAUAUACAAAAAUAUUAGAGUUAGAAUUUUGGGAGCUUUCUUUGUUCCUUUUAUAUUCGUAAUUGAAUUUGCUUGGAAAAUAGACUCUUGAAUUAGAAAGGAAAAAAUCAUCACAAUCUCUGUGUCUUUCUAUUCCCUACCACCGCCCCUUCCCCACCUAAGUUCCCCUACAAAAAGGAACAAACAAUUGAGACGCACAGAAGACUCCCAGGCACUUUGAGGGUCGAGCUCCCAGGGACAGUUAACCUGGGUCUUAGAUGUAUCGAGGCAGAAACCACCUGGUCCUGAGUGCCGAUUUGCUGAGCCUGGCCUGUUUUCUCCUGCUUUUGUUCUCUCUCUCGACUCGCUGUCUGCAUCAGUCAUUCUGCAAACACCCCAGGCUUGGAGCCAGGCUCUGCAGGUACGUUCACCAACAAGGCCAGGUCCUCCCGCCCUCACUCAGGUCAGGUUCUGGGUCGGAAAAUGGGCAACAGACGUGUAACGACAAAUGCCGUCCAGCAAACGCUGAGGAUGACCUCACCUUACCCACCGACAGGAAGCUGUGGGAAGUGGGAGAGGGACAUGGGGGCUGGCCGGAGGGAGAUGGCCACAAAAGGGCUCUCUGAAUAUUCGACAUUUAGCAAAUAAAAAAUCUCAUUCUGAAUGAUUAAAAAGUAUGCACUAACUAACAGAAUUCCCAAUUUGUAAACUCUGCCAGAAUGAUGACCUCGGCCAGGUGUGUACCUGACCAUCUGAGUGUCCCUGGUGGGUGACUGCUGCCCUGCCG
rnacentral:lncRNA from 1 species